rnacentral:sRNA from 1 species
UUUUUGGAUUCAAUACUUUUCAUCAGCCUUAGUUUCAUUUUCAUGAAGCAAAGUUGUUGACGCCAUUUUUUUGAAGUUCGUUGGUUUGAGGAAAAUGUCCCAAAUGUAAAAAUGGGGAUGUCCAAUGCUGACAGACAGAGAAAAUACAGGCAGAAGAAAGAUGCCUCAUUCUAGAGCCAGAAAAGUUAGAUGGGAGUACCCACUACAAAAUCAUUGACAAUAUCUGAUAAAAAGUAACAGAAAAGUGAGACAGCCUACAGUCCAUAGUCAUAUAUAAAGCUUACAAAUGCUUUAAGUACUCUGUUAAAUGUAAUCUUUUUAUUUCACUCUACAUUGUCCUUCCUGUUACUUCAUUUUCUUUAAAAGUUGAUAUUUUCUAAGGCAAAUAUUAUUAUAGGAAAAGUUUGUUUCUCUUGUAUUUUACAUAGUAAUCAGAAAUAAAUCUGUUAUUUAAUUUAAAUAUCAACAUCAAUUUCCACUACUGACCAGAUUGUGUUAUUAGGAGUCUCUCCUGUUACAGUUGUAAACAUUUUUCAAUUUUUAUUCUAUAUUUUUCAAUAAAUUUUACUUCUUCACAAAUGUCAUUAUAUAUUAGGAACACCUUAGUAAAUUUUCAAGAUUUUUUAUAUUCAGUGUUUAACCAAAUGAAGAUUUUGAUCUGAAUGUACACAAGAAGUCCCUCCUGUUGCUUAUUUUGUUCUUUCCUGUUACACUUUUUACUGUAAAGAUUAUAAAACUUUUAUCAUAGUAUUUAAUGGUAUUGUUUAAGGUUCAUCUAUAUUUUAACAGCAUAUUAAUUGACACCAAACUGUGAGAUUGAUGCUAAGUUUACUAUCAAUCAACUUUAAAUCAGAAUUAUGAUUUUGUAACAGGAGAGACUUGUUUAAUACAACGUACUGUCUUUCCUGUUGCGAGACUCAGUCUUUCCUGUUACAGCACCAUAAAUAUAAAAAUAUGUUGCAUGUGUAUAUUUCUUUUAAGUUUGGGUCUACACAUAUGCUUAAAGUUUUAUAUCUGAUCAAAUAUAAGCACUUUGAGCUUUAUACUUAUCUUUUUAUUCUGUAAAAUUGUGAAAAUAACAAACAAAAUGUUUACCUGUUUGAACAUUUUCUAUUAUAUUAUUGUAAUUUGUAUUUUGCUUCUGUUUCAUUGAAAAAAUGUUAGUGGUUCUUUAUUUGUCAUGCUUUCACAACAUUGUCUGAAGAAAUUUUGGAAUAUUUUUUUGCUUCAAUUUAUUAAAAUUUGUAUUUUCUUAUGUGUAACAGGAAGGACAACAUUUAAGUAUGACCAGUUCUUUGAUCGUGUUUUACUCAGAAAUCAAAUAAUCUCUAGGUGGGAGUUAAGUGUUUUUGUAUUCUUCAGAUAUGUGUUUAUUGUUACAAUUGAAUAAAAUUAUUUUUCAACAC